ACCCCACUUGGAGUGCCUCCUCAAUCAAAUCUGCCAUCAUGACUUCAGGUCACCCAUUUUCAUGAAUAUAUAAAUCCAAAGUUUCACUUAACGUUUUCUAGUUUCGUGACGUUGCACACCUUAUUGCUGCCUUUUUAUACUAUCAAAGUGAUAGUGCAUUUUACACUAUAACUUGUUUCUUAUAAAAAGGACCUUAUAGUAUAAUCUAUUUCUUGGACUACAAUGUACUUAAUUAUAAAUUAUAAAUCAAUAUUCUUUAAGUAACGUGAUAUAGCAAUGUAUAAACUUAUCUUUCUGUAUAUAUGCAGCAAUUCAAAGCAACAACUUGAAGGCUCCCAUAACAACGGAAUCAGGGUCGGUAGCCACACCUUAUGACUAUGGAGCAGGGGAAAUGACAACAUCUGAACCAUUGCAACCGGGGCUAGUUUAUGAAACCAGCUCCGUUGACUACUUGAACUUCUUGUGUUACAUUGGAUUCAACGUAACCACGGUUAAAGUCAUCUCCAAAACCGUCCCUCGUAAUUUCAAUUGCCCCAAGGAUUUGAGCUCUGAUCAUAUCUCUAACAUCAACUACCCUUCCAUAGCAAUAAACUUCAGUGGCAAAAGAGCCGUGAACUUGAGUAGAACUGUUACAAACGUUGGCGAAGAUGAUGAAACAGUGUACUCCCCCAUUGUUGAUGCUCCCAGUGGAGUGCAUGUCACAUUAACUCCAAAUAAACUUCGGUUUACGAAAAGUAGUAAAAAACUAAGCUACCGAGUUAUUUUUUCAUCAACUCUGACCUCCUUGAAGGAAGAUCUGUUUGGAUCUAUUACUUGGAGUAACGGUAAGUAUAUGGUUCGAAGUCCUUUUGUGUUAACUAAGUGAAUUUAAAAGUAACGAUGAAUAAAUGCUUCUUCAUGCUUUUAGUUCAGUGUUUACUAGUAUCAUUCUCUAUUGACAAAUAAAUUAGGGGUGCCAGUUUGUGAUAUUUGUUUAAUAAUUAAUAUUCCAGGUAAUCUAGUGUUCCAAGUGUUUCGUAGAUUUUCAAACGGAUAUGUAAAAAUUGAAUGCUACCUAUUAUUUCUACCUCGUCUCACAACCAAGUUAUUAUGCUUGACUUCUAACUUACUAUUAGCUAUCCAGUUAUGUUGAUCAUUUUGAAUUUUAAAAAUAAAACAUUUAAACCUUUAUAAACCUAUCUUUACCGGGAUUCUUAGAGCAGAAUUACAGAUCAUCGCAUAUAAAGUACCUAAUGUCAUAUGAGAGAAUUGAUCUGUUUCUACCUUUAGACUGGUCAAUUUGACACGAGAAAUAAUCAUACACAUGGGGAUUUAGGAAUUUAAGGAGUUUUAUAUAUAAGAAUUGCAUGAAAAAUCGAUCUCUAUAUUAUAUACUUUGGAAAAAGACUCUAACCAGCAGCUGGAUGGUGCAACUAGAUCUUGAUGUUUCACGGUCAUUAUUAACGGUGUACCAACUGAUACUAGCGUGUCCAAAAAUUUGUGAUUUAAACACCCAGACAUAUUUUGUUUUCAUUUUCAUACGAUUAAUACGCAUAGCUCCGACAUCAAUGUAGAUAUUUUCAUUAUGUUAUUCCAGCAUACCAAACGCCUCAUAUCCCAUAAGCUUUGUAUACAAAUGUGCUGCCUCUCCUUACAUGCCAUCCCAUCAUCGGCGUUAUUGCGAUGGAAUUUUCUUAACAUUUGAAACAUUGACAUACCAACUUUAUUGAUAUUUGAUAUUGAACUGAUCAAUUAAUUAGGACAUUUUGUUUCCUAUUAAUUAAUUAAUCUGGAACACCAGCUACCAGUCAGCCAUAUAGGUAUGCGGUUAUGCACUUAUGCAGAGCAAUACUGUAUACAUAUCACAAGAUCAAAUGUGGAAAAUGGACAUAGUGGCGCACUACAAUAAUUUUUAUGACUCAUGCAUAUGGAGACUGAUAACAAAAAAGUGGGCACAUACAUCCAACUUCAUCACUUGAAGACUUGAGAUUUGAGAAAGCACACUUACGUACACUAACACCUUCAAUUCCUAUGUUAGGAGAAAAAUAUAUAGCUUGCAUAAUAAUAUAUGCAAUUCUCCUCAAAUGGGUCUAUCCAUUCCAAUGGGCUUAAAAUACGGCAUCAUAAUUGACGAGUUGAUUCAUUGGUAAAAAAAGUCACUAGAUCUUUGCCCCAUAAAAACAAAAAAAUAUUGAUAUUACGUACCAAACACAAAGUUGUGUAUAACUUGCAUUUCCCCAAUGUUUCCUAUCAUCUAAUUCACUCAUGUGUGCCUUCAUCGUCGCAUAGUUAGGUCUAUUUUUUCUUUUUACAUUUAAGUUCAGGGUCUUUUUUUAGCAAUUCUUUUAUUAUUUUAGUUUUCUUUUAUAUUUUUAUUUUUAGUUUCUUGAAAAACAAAAACCCAAUUCACUCAUGCUGUACAGGUAGGACUUAUACUCAAUAUCAUUGAUUAAUCUGAAAUAUCUUCAUAACAAUUAUUCACAUAUUUGAUGAUAAAAAAAUUACAAAAGAAACUUUAUUUUUAAUUUUAAAAUUCUCCCUCAAAGCCACGGAUAUUGUUAGUUUAUUGGCAAGUGCACCAAUUUGUUCAAAUAGUAUUUUAAAAUAAAAGUUCGAGUGUCGAGUCUAUAGUAACUUUGACUAUAUUCAUAAUUUGUAUAUGUCCAAUUUUAAGCAAUUAAUGAUUUAAAUUUGAUAUUUGUUGAAUAAUGAUACAAAAUGUAAAAUUCAAGUGAAUGACAGGAUGAAGUGACAUAAAGUGCUUAGAGAGUUUACUUGCAUGUGAAAAAAUUUUAAAAAGAAAAAGACUAAAGUUAAAAUGAUAAUGCAACCAGAUUAAUACUUCUAAAGUAAAGAAUGUUUUGUAAAUAUAUUUUCAAACAAUUUAAAUAUUUUUAUUUGACUAUAUUAAUAUAAAUCAUCUCUAAUCCAUAUAUUUUUUAAUAUUAUACUCUCUUUUUUCAUUUUAUUUUGAUAUACUUUAUGUUUUAAUAACUUGAAUUCAAUAUGAUUUUGUUUAUCAAUUAUUUUUGGAUUUGUACGUUACUUAUAUAAAAUUUUAUAAGUUUUUUAAGUUAGUAUUUUACAAUAUGAUUUUAUAAAUUUUAUAAUUGGUUAAAGAUGUCUUUAGACAGACUUUGUUUUUAAAUAGGUUCGUAAACCAAGUAAGACUUUUAUGUAAAUUGGGUCCAGCCUUUUAAAAAAGUCUAUGACAGGUAAUGAAUCAAACUCAAACCUUGCGUAUUCAACUCAAACUGAACUCAACCCUAAUAAAGUUUUACUUGACUCGGCUCAUUUCCACCCCUACCCAUAACAACAGAAUUGGGAUCAUUAGCCACACCUUAUGACUAUGGAGCAGGGGCAAUUACAACAUCUGAACCAUGGCUAGUUUAUGAAACCACCACCUUUGAUUACUUGAACUAUUUGUGUUACAAUGGACUUAACAUAACCAUGGUCAAGGUCAUCUCCGGAACUGUCCCCGACAAUUUCAAUUGCCCCAAGGAUUCGAACUCUGAUCUAAUAUCCAACAUCAAUUACCCUUCCAUAGCAGUAAACUUCACUGGCAAAGCAAACGUGGUCGUGAGUAGAACUGUCACAAGCGUUGGAGAAGAAGUGAAACAGUGUACUUCCCCGUUGUUGAAGCUCUCAAAGGAGUAUUUGUCACAUUAACUCCAGAUAAACUUCAGUUUACGACAAGUAGUAAAAAACUAAGCUACCAAGUUAUUUUCACACCAAAGAAAUCCUUGAGGAAAGACCUGUUUGGAUCUAUUACUUGGAGUAACGGCAAAUAUACGGUUCGAAGUCCUUUUGUAUUAACUAAGUAGUAGUGAAAUUAAAAGUAGCGAUGAAUAAAAUGCAAACUAAUUAAGUUCUUCAUGGUGCCUAGCUACUCUCUAGUUUUCAUUAUUUCUUAUUCAUUUUUUCUCUAUUUUAAUUUAAUUAAUUAUAGUUUCAGCUUUCCAAAUAUACUUUUUUUUUUCUUUUACACGAAGCUUUCCUACUUAAUUACUACCAUGUUUACAAGUAAAAUUAGUUCUAACUUACUCACAGGCCUUUUGAUCCAGCUUAAUAUAAAAAAGAAACGAAUUACAUCUUUGCAAAGGGUAAGUGUUUGGGGGUAUAUUUGUAGGGUGCACUGAUAAUGUAUAUUGAAUUAUGUACGAAUUUUCUGCUGUCAAACUAAUAUACACCUUGUACUUAGUUCUGGUUUCUAAUAAUAAAUUCCAUAUUUACUCAUAAAAAAAUAUAUUAAAUGUAACGCGUUUCAACUACAUUAAUGUCAUGGCGGGAUGGAAGUAACCUCAGUUUUUACACCGUUGGUAAUUCAACACCAAUUUCAUGCUUCAGAUACAAACUCCUCAAAUGUCAUAAAAGAUGGAUUUUUAACAAAACUUGUACAAGGUAAGGGGUCAGUGAGCUAAUGAAAUAAGGAAAUAUAAGUUUUCUGCUGCUUUAACGUGACGAGUUUGGCUGUUUGCGCCAUCUAAAAUUUUAGUCUGCUAUAAUUAAUUGGUGGGCAGUAGAUGUUAGAAGCCAAUAAAGGAAAGUAUUAUGCCAUUGGAGUAAUUCUAAUCCUCCACCCCCUUUUAGAUUGAUUUGAUUGAGGUGGAACCAGGAGAGAGAAGAAGAAGAAAUAACAGAAAAUAAUAGAUGUAAUAUUAUAUAAUGAAAAAGGUGGAGAGAAAUAGAAAAUAUAAAUACAUUGCACGCCAAAUUAUUUUUUCAUUUUUCAAGUAAGCUGCUACCAAAUUUAGGUAGUGUUAAAAGAUAUAUUAUAUAUAUGAAAUAUAGGUCCGAUUGCUUAAAAUUUAUUUGUUUUAAACUAUUUAUUUUAAUAAAAUUAUUAUUUUUUUAAUUUUUUUAAUAUGUUUAUUUAAACUGAUUGUACUUAAAAAUAUUUAUUUAUUUUAAGAAACAAAUCUUAUCAAUUUGUUUCUUAAAAAACGUUUAUCUAAAAAUCGUUCAUUAUUAAGUUUAAACAAAUUCACUCAUAAUUAACUUAGUUUCCAAUUUAAUUUUAUCACCCUAAUUUUAUUACUUUAUGAAUUUUAUGAUUCAAAUUUUUUUAUUUUUACAUAUUUUAUCAUCAUAUUAAUAACAAAAUAACACAGUUUUACAAAAUAUGAUAAUAAAAUAAUGUUAUUUUAUUUUUUUUAACAAGUCAACAGUGUUAAAAUGCACACAAAUUUGAAAUGAUAAAAAUUUUUAAAAAAACUUUGAAGAUAAAAUUUCAAAAUGAUAGUAAAAUUUAUAAUUAAAUUAAUAUUUUUCCAAAUUUAUAUACUCACAAGUUACAAAUAUGCAAAACCCAUUAGAGAGUCAGAGAAGGAAAGACAUUUAAGGAAUCUAAUGGAACAAUUCUUUUUAGAGCAUCUCAAAUGAGUAGCUUUGAGAAGAGAAAGUAACGUGACUUUUCUUAUUUUUUUAUUAAAUUUUUUACGACUUAUUUAAGUUGUUGUCCAUUUAUUAAAGAAGAAGAAAAAGUCAGUAACUUUUCUCCUCAAAGUUAUUUAAUUUUUUAUUAAACUAAUUUGUUAGAUCUCAAAUUUUAUUUCAUUUAAAAUAAAACAUAAUUUAAUUUUCGUCUCUCUUCCUUAUUGUAUCAUUAUAAAAGUAGGAAAACAAAUAUAAAUUAGAACAAACAUAAUAUUAAUUAAUAAGAAUAAUUUGUUUGUUGCUUUGAAUUUUCUAUUCUAAUAACAUUAGGUAGUAAUAAAAUUAAGUUGAGUUUCAUUUUUUUGAAAGAAUUAACUUAAUAAUUGUAUAUUUUUGUUUAAGUAUAAUAUUUUAGAUAAUGUAUUAUCACAUUAAAAAUUUAGAGUGAUAGACAAAUUAUGUUUAUUAAUCAAUAUUAUGUUUAUUUAAUUGUUUGUUUUAAGUUAGGUUUGUUUUCAUAUUUUUUUUAGUGUUUUUAUUAUAAUGAGAAAAAAAAUGGAGGAUAAAAGAUAAAAAUUAUAUUAUAUUUUACUCUUAAAUAAAACAAAAUUUGGAGUCCUAAAAAUUAGUUUAAUGAAAACUUGUUGACAUAGGUCUAAUCUAUUCAAUAAUCAUGUUAGCUUAUUUGUGCUCUUGGACUCCUUCAUUAACGGUAAUAGAUGAAUGAAUUUAUUGCAUUUCUUUCACUUUUGAUUACUAAAAUUUAAAUUUUCAUUUUUCGAAAAUGAAUUCGUUACUAUUUUAUACAUUUAAAAAUAAAAAUGAUUAUUUCAUCUUAUAAUUAUCAAAUAAUAUGCCUGUGAUGAUGAUUUUUUUCAAAAAUUGAAAAUGUCUUAUUGCCUAGUUAGGCUAUAGAAUCUUUUUGGCUCAUCUCAAUCGCAUGGCGACAUGGUUACCGCGUUCAUUGGGUAAUUAUAUUUAUGUAUUUAAAUUAAUUCUAUUAAAACCAAUUCUAUUAAAGCUGAAAACUAAAAUGACACUUAAUUUCUGUAAGAGUCGUGUAAUUAGCGAGCCAGAGUAAUGCAACCAAAGAGCUUCUUUCCCCACCUUAAUUCCUUUAUAAUGAAUUUGAUUGAUACCAUACAUAGCUAAGCUUUUUUUUCUUUCGAUUUACAUAGCCAAGCUUUAGCUGCUAUAUAUAAUAUGUUGUUUAUAUAAUUUUGACAUGUUGCAUUACAUGUUACUAACUGGUUGCAACCUCCAGUUUUGGUUAUCGAAUAUAUGCUGGCCGGCACCAACUACAAAAAAUUUCUGUAUGGCUGGCUACUAAUACUAUAUCUUCAAAUGUCUCACUUUACAUGGACUGAGUGCAUAACGGGCAAUUGCAGUGCUCAUAAGGAAUACGCAUGCAAUCAUUUUAUCAUCGCAGAUUGUUGCUUUUCCUUCACUGUAAAAAAAAAUAAAAAUAACAAUUAAUUGAGCACCGAAUGAACUAGACCGAUUGCAUGCAUUAUAAUACAUGAAGAAAAUUAUUUAUACUAAUCUUUUGUUUCAAGUUUUAAAGUUGACUUUUUUGUUUUACAAGCACAAUAACAAUCAAAUAACCAAUAAUUUAAUCAUUAAAAAGAUAAACAAACUCAUUAGAUAAAAUAAUAAUUAUGAUAAAAUAUGUUUAAGUCCUCUAUAUUUAAGUUGAAUUUUGUUUUUAGUCUUUCAAAUUGUGCAUUUUAGUCUCUGAAAUUUUAUUUUAAAAAAAUAGUCUUUGGGCUUACUCUCCAAAAUUUGCACAUUUUAAUUUUAGGUUAUUGAUUAAAGAUUAAAAACAUUUUUUUUUAUCAAAUUUAGGGACCAAAUUACUUGAUAUAAAUACUCAAGAACUAAAAACAAAUUUCAAUAAAAAUAUAAGGGAUUAAAAAUAUAUUUUAUUCUGAUAACUAACAAUCAUCAAAUUUUAUGACAAUCAUAUGUAACCUUUUAUAAUAUAAUUGUAAGAAUAAUUAAUUUUAAUAAAUAAAUAAAUAAAUGAGACUUAUAAUAGUAAAUACAUAUGUUUGCCUAGGUAAUAACAAUGAUAACAAGUAAUAGAAUUAUCAUUCUUAUUGUAUCUAUUAAUUAAUAUAUUAUUAGAUGUAUUAAUUAGUAUAUAUAUUUUUUACUAUAAAUAGUAUAUAUUAUUAAUUAUUAUACAUUUAUUAAAGUAUAUUCAUUAAAGAUUUUGAGGGAGGGGAGCUGAAGCCACUAACCCCCGUAAAUCCGUCCUUGCACAAAACACGACAUGAGAAUGGUUUUGUAUACUCCACAAUUUAAUAUCCAAUAAAAUAAUUUCUUUUUUAUUUUAAUUAGGAAACUCCAAGAUUGCUUUAACUUAUACAAAAUCUGAAUAACACAAAAAAAUAAAAAAUCGGAAUUAAAUGUUGCCCGAUUGUUGACUAACUUAUACAAAAUCUUAUUUAAAUGCUUAAAAUCGUGUCAUAAUAUAAUGAAUAUAUAUUUGCAAAUAUAUAUUUAUUAUAUAAUUGCAAAUAUAUAUUCUAAUUUUGAGUAUAAAUAACAGCAUGUGAGGGUGCAGCAAAACACACACUGAGUGCAACAAAGUUUUAACAUGAAAGGCAAUAAUACACUUUUGUUGCAUUUAUUCUACACUACUCUCUUCCUGUUUCUUGUAGUGUCAAGUUCAUCUUCAACAGGGAAUGAAAGUAACGAUGACACUAACAGUAAAGAAGUUUAUAUCGUGUACAUGGGAGCUGCAGAUUCAACAAAAGCUUCUCUUAAAAAUGAGCACGCUCAGAUUCUGAAUUCAGUGCUAAGAAGGUACGUAUAAUUACAUAAUAUUAUUAUUAUAUGGGCACCAAUUAAUUAAUUUGAUGAUUGAUGUGUUUACAUAUUUUGUGUGAAUGAAUUGAAGGAAUGAGAAUGCCCUAGUACGGAACUACAAGCAUGGUUUCUCUGGGUUCGCAGCUCGUCUAUCAAAAGAGGAGGCAAACUCAAUUGCUCAGAAACCUGGUGUGGUGUCUGUUUUCCCUGACCCCAUUCUGAAGCUCCACACUACACGUUCAUGGGAUUUCCUCAAAAGCCAAACUCGUGUCAAUAUCGACACCAAACCAAAUACGCUGUCCGGUUCUUCUUUUUCUUCAUCAGACGUCAUUCUUGGCGUCUUAGACACAGGUUGUCCAUAAUCAAAAAAAAAAAAAAAACAUGAUAUAUAUGUGUGUGUUUCAUUUUUUAAAAAUGUUAAUAAUAAUAUAUACAAAAAUGGAAUAUUUCAGGCAUAUGGCCAGAGGCGGCGAGUUUUAGCGACAAGGGUUUCGGUCCUGUUCCAUCCCGAUGGAAAGGCACCUGCAUGACAUCAAAAGACUUCAAUUCCUCUUGUUGUAACAGGUAAACUAAAAUGUGAAACCAUAAUAAUAAUAAUAAUAAUAAUAAUAAAUAUAUAAAGGCGAACGUUAUUAAUUAUUAAUUAUUAUUAGAAAAAAGGUGAUUUCAGCUUGCUGUUUAAGAAGGUUUGGAAUGAAUCCUAUUUAAUUAGGUAGUGGAUGGAAUAACGGUUAGGUUUGUAUUUAUAGGAAGAUAAUUGGCGCGAGGUUUUACCCUAACCCAGAGGAGAAAACGGCAAGGGAUUUCAACGGACAUGGGACUCACGUUUCGUCGACGGCAGUGGGCGUGCCGGUGAGUGGCGCAUCGUUCUAUGGUCUGGCGGCGGGGACGGCAAGGGGUGGGUCCCCUGAGUCAAGGUUGGCGGUUUACAAAGUGUGUGGGGCUUUUGGGUCAUGUCCUGGGUCGGCCAUUCUUGCGGGGUUUGACGAUGCCAUUCACGACGGAGUGGAUAUCUUGUCGCUGUCGCUCGGUGGAUUCGGUGGAACCAAAACCGAUUUGACCACCGACCCGAUUGCGAUUGGAGCAUUCCACUCCGUCCAGCGCGGCAUCCUGGUGGUCUGCGCCGCCGGGAACGACGGAGAACCAUUCACCGUUCUCAACGACGCACCUUGGAUUUUAACCGUUGCAGCUUCCACCAUCGACCGUGAUCUUCAAUCCGACGUGGUCUUGGGUAAUAACCAAGUCGUCAAGGUACCUACAUAUUCUACUUUAAAUCGGUGCAGUGCAACUAAUGUCAUCUUUUCUCAUCGUUGAUAAUUAUUAAACUUCAGGGAAGAGCCAUAAAUUUCUCCCCUCUUUUAAAUUCUCCCGAUUAUCCAAUGAUAUAUGCUGAGUCUGCUGCCAGGGCAAAUAUCUCCAACAUAACUGAUGCAAGGUACGUACUCUAAAAACCAUUUGUCGUUUCGUAUUGGACAAACUUCAAAUCAAGCAAUCAACUAAGCAAUAACAAACAAGUGUUUCAUCACCAAUUAUAUGUAAUACUCAUAUAUAACCUCUUAGCAAAUGAUUAAAUCAUUUGUCACAUGCAGACAAUGCCACCCAGAUUCAUUAGAUCCAAAAAAAGUCAUAGGGAAGAUUGUGGUUUGUGAUGGAAAAAAUGACAUUUAUUAUUCAACUGAUGAGAAAAUUGUCAUAGUGAAGGCGUUGGGAGGAAUAGGUCUGGUUCAUAUUACUGAUCAAUCUGGAUCAGUAGCAUUUUAUUAUGUGGACUUCCCAGUAACAGAGGUAAAAUCAAAACAUGGCGACGCAAUCCUCCAGUACAUCAACUCAACUAGGUAAGGAUAUUAUAUAGCACUUGAAAGAAGCAACAUUCUUGAUUAAUUUUAGAAUUUGCUUUGAUCACGAGUUAUUUUCUUUUAAUUCUUUGUGCAUAUAUGUAAUAUAAAGCCAUCCAGUGGGAACAAUACUAGCAACAGUUACAAUUCCUGAUUAUAAGCCUGCUCCCCGGGUGGGUUAUUUUUCAUCAAGAGGGCCUUCAUUGAUUACAAGCAAUGUUCUCAAGGUAUGAUAUGACGAUCGAUAGAAUUAUACAUAUCAAUCAUCAUCCUCAAUAUGCUCAUUGCUCAAACACUAAACAGAACAUUCAUUCUUUCUUUCUUUCUUUCUUUCUAGCCUGAUAUUGCAGCCCCGGGAGUUAACAUUCUCGCUGCAUGGUUUGGAAAUGACACAUCAGAGGUUCCAAAAGGAAGAAAGCCCUCACUAUAUCGCAUACUCUCAGGAACUUCCAUGGCUACUCCACAUGUUUCAGGGCUUGCAUGCAGUGUCAAAAGAAAAAACCCCACUUGGAGUGCCUCCGCAAUCAAAUCUGCCAUCAUGACUUCAGGUCACCCAUUUGAUAAUGUGAUCUAAGUAAGUAAUGUGAUCCAGCAAAAUGUACCAUACCAACUCAUAUCAUUCUAUAAAUUAAUAUGUAUGCAGCAAUUCAAAAUGACAAUUUGAAGGGUCCCAUAACAACGGAUUCAGGGUUGAUAGCCACACCUUAUGACUAUGGAGCAGGGGCAAUUACAACAUCUGAACCAUUGCAACCGGGGCUAGUUUAUGAAACCAACAACGUUGACUACUUGAACUAUUUG
rnacentral:lncRNA from 1 species